rnacentral:rRNA from 1 species
GUAGGUGCGUAUCGGAUUUACUGGGCGUAAGCGCGCGUAGGUGGUUAAUUAAGUCAAAUGUGAAAUCCCCGAGCUUAACUUGGGAAUUGCAUUCGAUACUGGUUAGCUAGAGUAUGGGAGAGGAUGGUAGAAUUCCAGGUGUAGCGGUGAAAUGCGUAGAGAUCUGGAGGAAUACCGAUGGCGAAGGCAGCCAUCUGGCCUAAUACUGACACUGAGGUGCGAAAGCAUGGGGAGCAAACAGGAUUAGAUACCCUGGUAGUCCAUGCCGUAAACGAUGUCUACUAGCCGUUGGGGGAUUUGAUCCUUUAGUGGCGCAGCUAACGCGAUAAGUAGACCGCCUGGGGAGUACGGUCGCAAGACUAAAACUCAAAUGAAUUGACGGGGGCCCGCACAAGCGGUGGAGCAUGUGGUUUAAUUCGAUGCAACGCGAAGAACCUUACCUGGCCUUGACAUAGUAGAGACUUUCCAGAGAUGGAUUGGUGCCUUCGGGAAUCUACAUACAGGUGCUGCAUGGCUGUCGUCAGCUCGUGUCGUGAGAUGUUGGGUUAAGUCCCGCAACGAGCGCAACCCUUUUCCUUACUUGCCAGCAUUUCGGAUGGGAACUUUAAGGAUACUGCCAGUGACAAACUGGAGGAAGGCGGGGACGACGUCAAGUCAUCAUGGCCCUUACGGCCAGGGCUACACACGUGCUACAAUGGUCGGUACAAAGGGUUGCUACACAGCGAUGUGAUGCUAAUCUCAAAAAGCCGAUCGUAGUCCGGAUCGCAGUCUGCAACUCGACUGCGUGAAGUCGGAUCGCUAGUAAUCGCGGAUCAGAAUGCCGCGGUGAAUACGUUCCCGGCCUUGUACACACCGCCCGUCACACCAUGGAGUUUGUUGCACCAGAAGUAGUAGUCUAACCGCAAGGAGGACGCUUACCACGGUGUGGCCGAUGACUGGGGUGAGCGAGAGGG